rnacentral:rRNA from 1 species
UACGUAGGGUGCAAGCGUUGUCCGGAAUUAUUGGGCGUAAAGAGCUCGUAGGCGGUUUGUCGCGUCUGCUGUGAAAACCCGAGGCUCAACCUCGGGCCUGCAGUGGGUACGGGCAAACUAGAGUGCGGUAGGGGAGAAUGGAAUUCCUGGUGUAGCGGCGGAAUGCGCAGAUAUCAGGAGGAACACCGAUGGCGAAGGCAGUUCUCUGGGCCGUAACUGACGCUGAGGAGCGAAAGCGUGGGGAGCAAACAGG